UGGGGAAUAUUGCACAAUGGGCGAAAGCCUGAUGCAGCGACGCCGCGUGAGUGAAGAAGUAUUUCGGUAUGUAAAGCUCUAUCAGCAGGGAAGAUAAUGACAGUACCUGACUAAGAAGCCCCGGCUAACUACGUGCCAGCAGCCGCGGUAAUACGUAGGGGGCAAGCGUUAUCCGGAUUUACUGGGUGUAAAGGGAGCGUAGGUGGCUAGGUAAGUCAGGUGUGAAAGCCCGGGGCUCAACCCCGGGAUUGCACUUGAAACUACUUAGCUAGAGUGCAGGAGAGGUAAGUGGAAUUCCUAGUGUAGCGGUGAAAUGCGUAGAUAUUAGGAGGAACACCAGUGGCGAAGGCGGCUUACUGGACUGUAACUGACACUGAGGCUCGAAAGCGUGGGGAGCAAACA
rnacentral:rRNA from 1 species